rnacentral:tRNA from 1 species
GCCUUCAUGGCGCAGUGGUUAGCACGCUCGGCACGUAUUCGAGAUGUCAGAGGUUCGAGUCCCGGCGAAGGCA